UACGUAGGGUGCAAGCGUUAAUCGGAAUUACUGGGCGUAAAGCGCACGCAGGCGGUUUGUUAAGUUGGAUGUGAAAUCCCCGGGCUUAACCUGGGAAUUGCAUUCGAAACUGGCUGGCUAGAGUCUUGUAGAGGGGGGUAGAAUUCCAGGUGUAGCGGUGAAAUGCGUAGAGAUGUGGAGGAAUACCGGUGGCGAAGGCGGCCCCCUGGACAAAGACUGACGCUCAGGUGCGAAAGCGUGGGGAGCAAACAGG
rnacentral:rRNA from 1 species